UACGGAGGGAGCUAGCGUUGUUCGGAAUUACUGGGCGUAAAGCGCACGUAGGCGGAUUUGUAAGUCAGGGGUGAAAUCCCGGGGCUCAACCUCGGAACUGCCUUUGAUACUGCAAAUCUCGAGUCCGGAAGAGGUGAGUGGAAUUCCUAGUGUAGAGGUGAAAUUCGUAGAUAUUAGGAAGAACACCAGUGGCGAAGGCGGCUCACUGGUCCGGUACUGACGCUGAGGUGCGAAAGCGUGGGGAGCAAACAGGG
rnacentral:rRNA from 1 species